rnacentral:lncRNA from 1 species
GUGAAUUUAGAGGUCGAAAGACGACCUUCCUCUUCACCAUCUUUCUGACCUCCGAUUGGAGUUCCUCUGGCCGCUUCACCGCAGGCUCUGGCUUCCUUUUCUCCAGUCUGCGCAGGAAGUCUCUGUGAUGACCAGGUCUCACCGUCCAGAUCUGCAGGCAGCUCAGCCUUCAGAACCGUGACAGAGCCAAGUGAUUGUUGGCUCUAUAAACAUUUGUGAACCACGUGGGAUGAAUUGGAGGGAUACAGGCAUGGAUGACCUGUAAUGCUUGCCCAUAGGCUGUGCAGGGGCUGGCUGUGGUCAGGACUCAGCAGGUGAAGGUGCCUGCUGCCCAGCCUGAUGAUCCGAGUCCACUUUCUGGAAUCUCCAUGGUUGACUGCCUCCAAGAGUUCCUUCUACAGCUGGAAUGCAAGAUCCUGAGUGGAGUCCAGGUGGUGGGUCUGGGAGCCUCCAGAGAGUCAUGGCCAGUCAGGAUGGCUGCCGUCCCCGUGCUUCUGGAGAGGGGCUUAGCCAAGAGGAAGCCACCCCAAAGGCUGAUCUCCUGACAGUUGAGCCGGUCCCCUGACAUGUGGCAUGCUGCAGAGCCUCGGAGGAAAGAGACAGCAACACUGACGAAUGAGGUCAGCGGGACCUGCUGAGUACCCAGUGGAUGUGGAGAACAGUGGAGGCAGAGUGCCCGCUCAGAUUACAUGAUUAACUCUCUCGGUCACCAGUGCCUAGCAUCCAGGCUGGGCCCCAAGGAUGCAGAGGCCAGUAGGACCCAGAGACCUCCUGGCCGGAGAGAAUGGCAGGCCCGUAGCUGGGGGUUGGAUGCCAUCCGAUAGGUGUUUGGGGAAUAUUCUGGAGGGCAAAGGGCACUGAUGCCAGUGGAUAAAAGGGCUCUUGGUUACAAGAACCAGCACUGGGUUAGAUGAAUGCUACCUGUCCCAGUUGCGGUUCCUAUUGCUAGGGUGAAGCACCGUGACCAAAAGCAAGUUGGGGAGGGAACCGUUUGUUGGCCUUACACUUCCUCAUCCAUAAUCCAUCAUUGAGGGAAGUCAGGACAGAAACUCAAGCAGGGCAGGAUCCUGGAGACAGAGGCUGAUGCAGAGGCCAUGGAGGGGUGCUGUUUACUGGGUUGCUUCCCAUGGCUUGCUCAGUCUGCUUUCUUAUAGGAUCCAGGACCACCAGAUCAAAUAUGCCACCACCCAAUGGGCUGGGCCCUCACCCACCAAUCAAUCACUAAGGAAAUGCUCUAUACAUUUGCUUACAG